UAAGCAAAUUAAUGGAAGGGGCCUAAUAAAUAUUUGUUAAGUUGAAUGAAAAUGUCAGAAACAGAUGACCGUGAAAUCUUCAAACUGUAAAAGUAUGUGGGUUUAGGAGGAUAGUGAAAUUGAGUGAAAGCUGCCUUAUUAUCAACAUCGUCCAGGAAGGAUUAAAAGCUCGUACUUGUGGUGGGAGGGGCAACUGGGCCAGGAAACUCGGACUUUCGCAGAAACAUUCGGGGCUGCGCAAGUACCCACCCCCCAUCCUCGCCCCUAGGACUGCAUCUGGGAGGCGAGCUGGCCCUACCACCCCGUUUGGACCCUUGUCUACUACGCAGCCGCCCACUUUCCGCAAGGAGGAUGGCGCUCGCUCGGAUCUCCGCGUUCCCUCUUCCCUUGGGGACUCCAUAGUAUUUUUUUCACGCUUCGUCGCUACUACUCAUUAUUUGCCUUACCGGUCUCCGGUGCCUUGCCUGUAACCAAAACGCUUUCAGAUCGCAGCAAGGUCGAUUUAAGCACAGCCUUUCUUAAGGUGGCGUGACUGUGACUCAUUUACUCUUCCAGAGUAACAAAGCAACAAAAUGGUGCUCCCACAUAUUAAUUGAAGAAAGAUUCAGGGUGUGUAGGGGAGAGAAAUAUUAAUUUUCUACUUUUAUGUAAGAUAUUAAUUCCAUGAAUAAAAUCAAACUCUUGUGGUAUGUUGUAAUACUCUAGAAUAUCUCCUU